UUUAUAAAUUACAUGAUUAGUACUGCAAUGCAUGGUGUAUGAAUCUGUUAUAAAAAUAACUUCAUCAUGAACUCAAAUGUUUUGCCUAACAAAUUACAAUUCAAUGUUUUAUUUAAAAAUCACAAAAUUGCAAAAUGAAAGCAAUCUUGGUACAUGUGUGCACACAAGCACUUUGUUUGAUAUAUAGGAAUCACCCUGUCAGUCUGUCCAUGUGCCUUGCAACUCAAACAACUUAAAUUGAUAUUGAAUAAACUUGACGCAGGAGCCAUUCACCAGAUAGUUACCGGAACAUACUACUAGGUAGGAUUUUUUGUUGAUGUUUAUUUUUUUAAGGCAAACUGAUUUUUUUAUUUCAGAUAUUUGUUUAUACAGUUUUAGGGAAUUGACAAUACAUAUUAAUUAAUAUAUUAUUUAAACAAUAUAUGUGAUAUUUUUUGCCCAUACAAAUCUUUUCA
rnacentral:lncRNA from 1 species